GACGGAGGAUGCAAGCGUUAUCCGGAAUGAUUGGGCGUAAAGCGUCCGCAGGUGGCAGUUCAAGUCUGCUGUCAAAGACCGGGGCUUAACUUCGGAAAGGCAGUGGAAACUGAACAGCUAGAGUAUGGUAGGGGCAGAGGGAAUUCCUGGUGUAGCGGUGAAAUGCGUAGAGAUCAGGAAGAACAUCGGUGGCGAAGGCGGCUCUCUGGAACGGUACUGACGCUGAGACGCGAAAGCGUGGGGAGCGAACAGG
rnacentral:rRNA from 1 species